rnacentral:rRNA from 1 species
AUUGAACGCUGGCGGCAGGCCUAACACAUGCAAGUCGAGCGGAUGAAGGGAGCUUGCUCCUGGAUUCAGCGGCGGACGGGUGAGUAAUGCCUAGGAAUCUGCCUGGUAGUGGGGGAUAACGUCCGGAAACGGGCGCUAAUACCGCAUACGUCCUGAGGGAGAAAGUGGGGGAUCUUCGGACCUCACGCUAUCAGAUGAGCCUAGGUCGGAUUAGCUAGUUGGUGGGGUAAAGGCCUACCAAGGCGACGAUCCGUAACUGAUCUGAGAGGAUGAUCAGUCACACUGGAACUGAGACACGGUCCAGACUCCUACGGGAGGCAGCAGUGGGGAAUAUUGGACAAUGGGCGAAAGCCUGAUCCAGCCAUGCCGCGUGUGUGAAGAAGGUCUUCGGAUUGUAAAGCACUUUAAGUUGGGGGGAAGGGCAGUAAGUUAAUACCUUGCUGUUUUGACGUUACCAACAGAAUAAGCACCGGCUAACUUCGUG